rnacentral:rRNA from 1 species
UACGUAGGGUGCAAGCGUUGUCCGGAAUUAUUGGGCGUAAAGAGCUCGUAGGCGGUUUGUUGCGUCGGCUGUGAAAUCCCGAGGCUCAACCUCGGGUCUGCAGUCGAUACGAGCAAACUAGAGUGUUGCAGGGGGAGACUGGAAUUCCUGGUGUAGCGGUGAAAUGCGCAGGAUAUCAGGAGGAACACCGGUGGGCGAAAGGGCG